GUGGGUAUAGCUCAAAUGGUAGAGUACAUGCUUAGCAUGCACGAAGUCCUGGGUUUGGAUCCCAGUACCUCCA
rnacentral:tRNA from 1 species